UACAGAGGCCUCGAGCGUUAGGCGGAAUCACUGGGCUUAAAGCGUGUGUAGGCGGACUUCUAAGUACCUUGUGAAAUCCCACAGCUUAACUGUGGAACUGCUUGGUAUACUGGUUGUCUUGAGUCAUCUAGGGGCGAGCGGAACAAGUGGUGGAGCGGUGAAAUGCGUAGAUAUCGGAAGGAACACCCAAGGCGAAAGCACUCUGCUGGGCCGACACUGACACUGAGAGACGAAAGCUAGGGGAGCAAAUGGG
rnacentral:rRNA from 1 species